rnacentral:rRNA from 1 species
AUUUAAUUUUAAGUCAGGCCUGCCCUAUGAUAUUAAUUAAAUGGCUGCAGUAAUUUAACUGUACAAAGGUAGCAUAAUAAUUAGUUUUUUAAUUGGAAACUAGAAUGAAUGGUUUGAUGAGGUAUAAAUUUUAUUAUAAUAAAAAGUAUAAUUUUAUUUUUUAGUGAGAAAGCUGAAGUAUUUUUAUUAGACGAGAAGACCCUAUAGAGUUUAAUAGUUAGUUUAGUAUUUAAAAUUAGAAUUUAAUUUAAUUACAUUAUUUGAAUUAUUUUAUUGGGGUGAUAGUAAAAUUAAUUUAAUUUUUAUAUUAUUAGUACAUUUAUUUAUGAAUAAUUGAUCCAUUAUUAGCGAUUAUUAAGUAAAAUUACCUUAGGGAUAACAGCAUAAUUUAUUUGGAA